AUGAGAUUGGCCCAAGGUACUCGGUCGAUCCUCUCUGUUGGGAGCAGCUCGGACUGGGGACUGUGCCUAGGGAUGUAAAAAGGGUGUCAAGUCAAAUUUCCAAAAUAUCGAUCUGAAAAUACACCACACAAACAGGCGCAAGAUCAUAAAUGGCGACAAGUACUUUUAAGUGGAAGCCAGUCAUAAUGGCUUUCUCCUUGAUGAGGACGCAGGCCACAUCGAGUGAGCCCAGCAACACGUUGGGCUUGAACCCCAAAGGGUGGCCUUCAGGCGACAACAGAUCCAGGGUGUGCAGCGCUGGACUGAGAUGGUAGCGGCCGCACAGGUCCACCAGCAGGUCCAUCAGCGGCUUACUGAGAGAGGGCAAAGAAACAAGAGUGAAGGUGGGGGGCGGGAGUGUUAAAAGUGAAAGAGAAGGAAGAAGAGAAUGGUGAGGAGGAAUGGAGGGAGGCAGUUUGGAAGAACCACAGGAGAGAUGACAUGAGAAGAUUGGGUUACGAAGACGAUAUAGCAUGAGUACUAGUAAAUACCAAUUACUUCAAUCAAAACAGACGCACUUUCACCUGAUUAAAAGAAAUAAGAGUAAUAAUCAGUUAUACUUCAUAUUAAUUCAGUAUUAAGAACUUGAAUUUCUUGGUUUCUGCUGCAUAAAAGCAAAUCUACAGCGUCACUGCACAAGUCAAUGUCAAAUUAACUUCAAACCAAGAAAUUGAAAUGGAGCAUGUUCAAAUGUAAUAAAACAAGACAAAUGGAGAAAAAGCUCUUGUGUGUGUAUGUGCGAAACAGAGGAUAGGCCCUUGAGACUUUAGGAUGCCAGUUGUUAAAACUGCCAAUCCUAAAAUAAAGAAAGCAAGAGCCAGUGUGUGGCGUUUUGUGGGAGACCGCCAGAUCUUGUGACGGGAGUGCCAGACCUUCUGCUUCAAAAAUACGAGACAUACUGUGAUUUGUCAAGUUCAAACACUUCCCUGGUGUCUUAACAUGCUUUCGUCAAAAAUAAUUUGAGGAUCAAGAAUUAUAAAACACUUUAUUCUCCCUAGUUAUUGUCUUGCUGAAAAGUGCAGCCACCCUGCCCCAUAUUGGUCAUAUUGAUAUCAUUUGAUUAAUAAUGGAAAAGACAUGACCCACUGAAUUUCCUUUUGAAAAUUAAUUAUUUUAGUGAAACGAGUAUUUGAAUUAUUUGCUGUUGUUAUCCAUCAUAUUUUUAAUAAUUGCCAGUUGUUAACCAUCAAAAGGUCAGAAUUGUCUCUAUGAAGAAAAAAAACCCAAAACACUGUAAAGACAAACUUUUUUUUGCCAAACUGUCUUUAUUGUUAGGUGUCUGAAAUGAAGUUUCAGGAUCUCCAACGUGUUUUUUGAAGCUGCUAAUUCCAUUUUUGUAUAUAUUGGAUUUUUCUCCUAUUGCUUAAUAUGCCUAUUCCAUGAAAACUAAUACAAACGCAUCUUAGUUUUUUUUUUGUGCUUCUUUUACAAACGGUCCUUCUUUGUCUUUCCCGUUCACGCCACUGGAGAGGGCCUUACUAUGUUGUCGCAAUACACCAGAGGGAUCUCUGAGCUGAAGUGCCAGGAUGAGGCAGCCAUUUUGCAUUCGCACAAUAGCAGACAACAAAGUAAGGGCUGUUAUUUCUGCGAUAAAAAGGAAUA